GGUAUUGUGCCGGAUAAAACGGAUAACUUUGAUGAAGUUAAACAUGGAUUAAACCCAAUACCU
rnacentral:tRNA from 1 species